rnacentral:rRNA from 1 species
UACGAAGGGGGCUAGCGUUGUUCGGAAUUACUGGGCGUAAAGCGUAUGUAGGCGGAUCGUUAAGUCGGGGGUGAAAUCCCGAGGCUCAACCUCGGAACUGCCUUCGAUACUGGCGAUCUUCGAGUCCGGGAGAGGUGAGUGGAACUCCGAGUGUAGAGGUGAGAUUCGUAGAUAUUCGCAAGAACACCAGUGGCGAAGGCGGCUCACUGGCCCGGUACUGACGCUGAGGUGCGAAAGCGUGGGGAGCAAACAGG